CAGGCUGCAACUCGCCUGCAUGAAGUCGGAGUUGCUAGUAAUCGUGGAUCAGAAUGCCACGGUGAAUGCGUUCCCGGGUCUUGUACACACCGCCCGUCACACCAUGGGAGUCGGGAAUGCCCGAAGUCAGUGACCCAACCGGAAAGGGGGGGAGCUGCCGAAGGCAGGCCUGGUAACUGGGGUGAAGUCGUAACAAGGUACC
rnacentral:rRNA from 1 species